UCUCCGUAGGUGAACCUGCGGAGGGAUCAUUACAGAGUUCUCGCCCUCGCGGGUUGAUCUCCCACCCACUGUUAUCGUUACUGUGUUGCUUUGGCGGGCCGCCGGGCCCCGCUCGGCCGCCGGCUCCGGCUGGCGCGCGCCCGUCCAAGGCCCAGAAAAAUCUGAAUGGUAGUGUCGUCUGAAUACUAACUCAUAGUUAAAACUUUCAACAACGGAUCUCUUGAUUCUG
rnacentral:misc_RNA from 1 species